UUCUCGGGCGCGGUGGGCGGCGGGUUGUGGAGUCGUUCCUGGAACCUGCUCGACCGCAUAGGCAGGGCCGCCUUACACCUCAGCCCCCCAAGGUUCACAGGAGCUCUGAAAAAACAAGGUCAUCAUUGGUGAUGAAUUGACUUAAACUCAACCGUCUCUUCUUUAGAAUCUUCCCAUUGGCUGCCACCACUACCACACUUUCCUUGAAGGUACGUGGGAUAUCCUUGAAGACUGGUAGGAGCUGUGGUGGUGUGGUGUAUUACCUACUGGAGGUGAAGACAAAUUAACUUUUCUGCUCAGGGAACCCUUGCAGCAACAACAUGUGGAUGGCCUAUGGGUCCAAAGAAAGGCUAGACUUGCAGUGGGAAAUCAGUCUUUAAACCAUGUUAACCUAGAGCCCUGCUUGCCACUGGAAGAGGAAGUUUGGAGGACAUAUCUGGUCUCCAAGCACAGAUAACACCCCACUCUUGAAAGAGGAGCUCUACUCAUAUGGCUAAUCUCAAUCACCUCACUGACCUGGAGUAAGCCAUCA